GCCACGUCGCGGGACUUGGCGAGGGACCCGUCCUCGGACGCCUCCUCCAGCGCCUCCCGCAGCUUGCUCUCCUGCAGCCGUCGCCCGCCGCCGGACCCCGCGCCCGCUCCCGCCGGCGGCGUCCGCGGCGGACGGUUCUUCUUGUCCAGGAGCAGCGCGGCGCAGUGGGACAGCGGCUUCCACAGUUUCAGAUGCAUGGCCGCCCGCCCGCCUGCCCGCGCAGAAAUCCGGGACCUUUCCUACAACAUCCGAUUCCCCACCGCCGCCGAUGGCCCCCUCGCGAAUUCUCGGGAUCAAAUCAGCCCGCGAUCGAAUUCGACGCGGACAAGGGUCUCUCCUAGGGCUUCGAGGGAUCGACGGAGACGGACGAUCGGGCUGGGUGCCCUCACCGCUGCGGAAUCUGGAUCAAGGAACAGAGCAGAGAGAGAAGGGGACAGGCGGAGGAGUGAAAGGAAGAGGAAGCAAGGGCCGAAGGGGAGAGAGAGAGGACAGACGAGGAGGAGGAGGAGGAAGCGGAAGGGAGUUAUUGGAGCACACCAACUCGUCUGCACGGAAUUAAAAGCAGGGGGUCCCAAUCCAAG
rnacentral:misc_RNA from 1 species